rnacentral:lncRNA from 1 species
AAAAACCCUAUUUAUGUCCACUCUUGGGAACUUUGGGACAAAUUGCACAACUUCUUCAAUGCGUGCAUCCAAGACAAGAGGCAUGUCAAUAACGUGUUGAAUUGUGAAAUGCAAAGAAAAGAGGUAAAAUCAUUCCUAAAUAUCUUCUUCAUUUUAAGGCCUCAAUUCAAUCAUUUGUUUCCAUUAGUGACCUUGUAUCCUAUCAAGAUCAUCUCAAUGCAAUUCUUGGAGAACGGCAUAACUUGGGUGAAUAUGAAACAAUCAUUUCUUUUACUGGAAUCAAAUUUGAUCUAUUUGCAGCGGAUGAGAUUGCCGCAAUUUUGCUCGCUCGUGAAGAAAGAAUAGAAAAUUUCCAGCAAGAACUUAUUGAUUCAGUCUCAAUAAACCUUAGUCUUGUUAGAUGACUACUGCUUAGAAUGACUUUGGACCUAAUGUUCAUUGCUUUCAUGUUGCCAUGAUUAUUUUUAAUUUGAAAUUACAGCUGUACACAGACAAAUCUGUCGGUUAGACUAUCAUUGGUAUUUAAUUCAAUGUUCGAUUUUAUUAUUACCAUUUCGUUAGAUGUUUCAAUUUCUUGCAACUGUUCUUGUAAAUAUUUGUAUUGUGUGUCAGUUGUGAAACUUCUAUUGGCUAUUUAAUGAGAAUGGC